GGCUUGAUUGCGCAGUUGGUAGAGCACUGCACCGGUAUCGCAGAGGUCAUGGGUUCGAACCUCGUUCAAGCCU